rnacentral:rRNA from 1 species
GACGAACGCUGGCGGCGUGCUUAACACAUGCAAGUCGAACGGAAAGGCCCUGCUUUUGUGGGGUGCUCGAGUGGCGAACGGGUGAGUAACACGUGAGUAACCUGCCCUUGACUUUGGGAUAACUUCAGGAAACUGGGGCUAAUACCGGAUAGGAGCUCCUGCUGCAUGGUGGGGGUUGGAAAGUUUCGGCGGUUGGGGAUGGACUCGCGGCUUAUCAGCUUGUUGGUGGGGUAGUGGCUUACCAAGGCUUUGACGGGUAGCCGGCCUGAGAGGGUGAACGGCCACAUUGGGACUGAGAGACGGCCCAGACUCCUACGGGAGGCAGAAGUGGGGAAUAUUGCACAAUGGGCGGAAGCCUGAUGCAGCAACGCCGCGUGCGGGAUGACGGCCUUCGGGUUGUAAACCGCUUUCGCCUGCGACGAAGCGUGAGUGACGGUAAUGGGUAAAGAAGCACCGGCUAACUACGUG